rnacentral:rRNA from 1 species
AGGGAACGUGCCUUUAGGUUCGGAAUAGCUCCUGGAAACGGGUGGUAAUGCCGAAUGUGCCCUUCGGGGGAAAGAUUUAUCGCCUUUAGAGCGGCCCGCGUCUGAUUAGCUAGUUGGUGAGGUAAAGGCUCACCAAGGCGACGAUCAGUAGCUGGUCUGAGAGGAUGACCAGCCACAUUGGGACUGAGACACGGCCCAAACUCCUACGGGAGGCAGCAGUGGGGAAUCUUGCGCAAUGGGCGAAAGCCUGACGCAGCCAUGCCGCGUGGAUGAUGAAGGUCUUAGGAUUGUAAAAUCCUUUCACCGGUGAAGAUAAUGACUGUAGCCGGAGAAGAAGCCCCGGCUAACUUCGUGCCAGCAGCCGCGGUAAUACGAAGGGGGCUAGCGUUGCUCGGAAUUACUGGGCGUAAAGGGAGCGUAGGCGGACAUUUAAGUCAGGGGUGAAAUCCCAGAGCUCAACUCUGGAACUGCCUUUGAUACUGGGUGUCUUGAGUGUGAGAGAGGUAUGUGGAACUCCGAGUGUAGAGGUGAAAUUCGUAGAUAUUCGGAAGAACACCAGUGGCGAAGGCGACAUACUGGCUCAUUACUGACGCUGAGGCUCGAAAGCGUGGGGAGCAAACAGGAUUAGAUACCCUGGUAGUCCACGCCGUAAACGAUGAUUGCUAGUUGUCGGGAAGCUUGCUUCUCGGUGACGCAGCUAACGCAUUAAGCAAUCCGCCUGGGGAGUACGGUCGCAAGAUUAAAAC